CAGUACCCUGAUCUUUUAGCUUUUUAGAAUUCUUGCAAGUUGUCUCCUAUUUAUAUGCGUCCUCCAGUUUGUAAAUCAUUAUCUUUCACUUAAGCAUUUUCUUUAUUAUAUUCAGGCACUAGUUGUGUAGUAAAUUUUCAGCCUUGAAUUGAUCCAGUUAUCUUCUUGAGAUAAUGAAUACCUAUUCUCUUUCCUAAUGUGUCUAUUGUGUUUUUAUAGAUUUGGGAUGUGAGAACUAAAGCCAGUGUACACACAUUAUCUGGACAUACAAAUGCAGUUGCUACAGUGAGAUGUCAGGCUGCAGAACCACAAAUUAUUACAGGAAGCCAUGAUACUACAAUUCGAUUAUGGGAUCUGGUGGCUGGAAAAACAAGAGUGACAUUAACAAAUCACAAAAAAUCAGUUAGGGCUGUGGUUUUACAUCCAAGACAGUAAGUGUAUUUUCCUAAUUAGCUUCUUGUUUUUCUUCAGUUCUUAAGAUAAUGCUGAAAUGCUAGUGGUGUUAGCACUGCUUUUGGCAGU
rnacentral:sRNA from 1 species